GUGCUCGCUUCGGCAGCACAUGUUCUCAAAUUGGAACAAUACAGAGAAGAUUAGCAUAGCCUCUGCACAAGAAUGACAUGCAACUUUAUGAAGCGUUCCAUAUUAAA
ensembl:snRNA U6 U6 spliceosomal RNA